rnacentral:lncRNA from 1 species
UUUUCCAAGCACUUCACGUGCGUUAAUUUAUUAAUCCUUCAACAACACCAUGAGCAGGUAUCCUUUUUAAGUCCAUUUUACAGAUGAGAACUUGGAAGCAUUGAGUGUUUCUGUAACUUUCCCAGAGCGGAUCGUGAACUUAGCAGUUUGGUGGAGAGAGCUGGCAAAAACUGGCUUCUUCGCCUCACCCUUGGCGAGGGACAGGGAAGGGGAGCCUCCAGGAAUGGGGCAGGAGCAGCCGUGUCAUAUUAGGCUGGAGUCGCCGCACGAUCUGGGGAGGUGGUGGAAGGUGAGGAUGCCCGGCGUCCUCGCCGGGUUGCAGGUCUUCUCGUCUCCGUUCCGCGCCUCUCACACCUCUGUUCCUUUUUCUGUUACCGGUCUCUCACACAACCCUUUCUCAGCUUCCCUCUGACCUCUCAGGCGCGAAAGUCUGGCCCCAAAGUGCAGGGGCGGGCGGGCCGCGUCCCCAGGGCGCGCACAGAGCCCUCUCCCCAUCUUUCUCUUCUUUCCUGGAGCGGCGGGAGCCCCCGCGUAACCCGCCCGGCGGGCAGACGGAGCCAGUGAAGACCCCAGCGGACAAAUUAGCCUCGCCUUCGAUCGCUCUUUUCCGAUCAGGUCAGGUUUCCCUCCGCCCUGUGACGGCGCUUCCACACCCGCCCGGCUCCCCGGGUUCCCCCGCGGGGUCAAGGUUCGCCGGGCUCCGCCUGGCGCCUCCGGAGGGGCUUCCCUUCUGCUGCGUUCCGGCCCGGGAGCUCGCCCCACCCCUCGGACUUUGGGGAGGAUCAUCUCCGAGAGAGGGUUCCGCGCCGGUCCCUGGCUCCUCCAGGGAGUCCUCCCCACUGUUGCUUCCGGUCCUCAACGCGUGGAGACUUGUCUCUAAAAAAACAUCAGUUCUCUGCUCCAUCCUUAGGCCCAAUCCGACCCAGGCAAACUGGUACCGAAAUAGUACUCCUUCUUUUUUGAGUUUGUUUCAGAAUUUCACACACACACAAAUUCUACUGCUCAUCUUGGUAAAAUCAGAAUUUCAUUGGACUUCUUUAUACAUAGUUAGGAUUUAAUAUUGAUUCUACUUUGAAUUACAUCGGGAGUGGGGACCACCAUAAUUUCAAGAGCCCUCUGCCCGAAUCCCACUCCUGAGGCCACUCUCUCUUUCCUAUAUUCACAACCCCCCUGCCCUCAUC